GGUAAGCCCAUUGUACACCCUACCUUCUCUAGACUCCACUUAUAGGAGUAUACUGAGUACGUUGUUGAUGUUUGUUUUCCCGAUUAAACUUUUGUUACUCUCACACUAAUUUUCGGGGCGAAAUGUGUUCAGGGAGGUCGACGUCAUCGGCAUAUUUCGCUACAAGAAUACAUGGCCAUUGUGUCUUGAGUUCUUAAGAAGUGGUAAGAUUGAUGUGAAACCUUUGAUCACACACAGGUUUGGAUUCUCUCAAGAAGAAGUUGAAGAAGCUUUUGAAACAAGUGCUCGUGGUGGUGAUGCUAUUAAAG
rnacentral:misc_RNA from 1 species